rnacentral:rRNA from 1 species
GAUGAACGCUGACAGAAUGCUUAACACAUGCAAGUCGAUGGGGAAGUGGUGCUUGCACCAUGGCAACCAUGGCGGACGGGUGAGCAACGCGUAAGGGACUUACCUGCAGGACUGGGAUAACAGGGGGAAACUCCUGACAAGACCGGAUAAUGUCAUGGAGCUGCAUGGCUUUAUGAUGAAAGGAGACGCCUGCGGAGAGCCUUGCGUCCUAUUAGCUAGUUGGUGAGGUAAUGGCUCACCAAGGCGAAGAUAGGUAGCCGGCCUGAGAGGGUGGACGGCCACAAGGGGACUGAGAUACGGCCCUGACUCCUACGGGAGGCAGAAGUGGGGAAUAUUGGACAAUGGGGGCAACCCUGAUCAAGCAAUUCUGUGUGCACGAAGAAGGUUUUCGGAUUGUAAAGUGCUUUCAGCAGGGAAGAAGUAAGUGACGGUACCUGAAGAAGAAGCGACGGCUAAAUACGUG